rnacentral:rRNA from 1 species
GAAGUAAAAGUCGUAACAAGGUUUCCGUAGGUGAACCUGCGGAAGGAUCAUUAUCGUACAAAAUGUGAGGGGCAUGCGAGGGCUGUCGCUGACUCAAAGUCGUGCACGCCCGAGUGUGUCCUCUCACAUAAAUAAUCCAUCUCACCCUUUGUGCAUCACCGCGUGGGCACCCUUUGGGAUCAUCUCGGAGGGGGCUCGCGUUUUCACACAAACCCCCCUUUUAAAAGUGUAGAAUGACCUCAUUUAUGCGCUAACCCGCAAUCAAUACAACUUUCAACAACGGAUCUCUUGGCUCUCGCAUCGAUGAAGAACGCAGCGAAAUGCGAUACGUAAUGUGAAUUGCAGAAUUCAGUGAAUCAUCGAAUCUUUGAACGCACCUUGCGCCCCUUGGUAUUCCGAGGGGCACACCCGUUUGAGUGUCGUGAAAACCUCAACCUCCUUGGUUUCUUCUGGAGACCAAAGCAGGCUUGGACUUUGGAGGCCUUUGCUGGCACCUCUCUUUUGAAGGCCAGCUCCUCUUAAACAAAUUAGCAGGGUCCUCUUUGCCGAUCCUCGACGUGUGAUAAGAUGUUUCCAUGUCUUGGUUUCUGGCUCUGUCACUUUUGGGACCCGCUUCUAACCGUCUUGAGACCUUGCGUCGAGACAACGUUCGAGCGUGUCUCCCUUUUCUCGGGAAGCUCCCUCGACCCCACGAACCCUUGACCUCAAAUCGGGUGAGACUACCCGCUGAACUUAAGCAUAU